GUGGGGAAUAUUGGACAAUGGGGGGAACCCUGAUCCAGCCAUGCCGCGUGUGUGAAGAAGGCCUUUUGGUUGUAAAGCACUUUAAGCGAGGAGGAGGCUACCGAGAUUAAUACUCUUGGAUAGUGGACGUUACUCGCAGAAUAAGCACCGGCUAACUCUGUGCCAGCAGCCGCGGUAAUACAGAGGGUGCAAGCGUUAAUCGGAUUUACUGGGCGUAAAGCGCGCGUAGGUGGCCAAUUAAGUCAAAUGUGAAAUCACCGAGCUUAACUUGGGAAUUGCAUUCGAUACUGGUUGGCUAGAGUAUGGGAGAGGAUGGUAGAAUUCCAGGUGUAGCGGUGAAAUGCGUAGAGAUCUGGAGGAAUACCGAUGGCGAAGGCAGCCAUCUGGCCUAAUACUGACACUGAGGUGCGAAAGCAUGGGGAGCAAACAGGAUUAGAAACCCGAGUAGUCC
rnacentral:rRNA from 1 species